GUGAGGCGCGUCUAGGGUUCCGCCCCUGCUCGGAGCGGCAGGGGGCCUGGUCCGAGAGACGCAGACGGCUCCACGCGGGAGCCGUCCCACGGCGGGACAAAAGCCCGGGAGAC
rnacentral:sRNA from 2 species